CAAUCCUGGCGGCGAGUGGCGAACGGGUGAGUAAUACAUCGGAACGUGCCCAAUCGUGGGGGAUAACGCAGCCGAAAGCUGUGCUAAUACCGCAUACGAUCUACGGAUGAAAGCAGGGGAUCGCAAGACCUUGCGCGAAUGGAGCGGCCGAUGGCAGAUUAGGUAGUUGGUGAGGUAAAGGCUCACCAAGCCUUCKAUCUGUAGCUGGUCUGAKAGGACGACCAGCCACACUGGGACUGAGACACGGCCCASACUCCUACGGGAGGCAGCAGUGGGGAAUUUUGGACAAUGGGCGAAAGCCUGAUCCAGCCAUGCCGCGUGCAGGAUGAAGGCCUUCGGGUUGUAAACUGCUUUUGUACGGAACGAAACGGUCUUUUCUAAUAAAGAAGGCUAAUGACGGUACCGUAAGAAUAARCACCGGCUAACUACGUGCCAGCASCCGCGGUAAUACRUARGGUGCAAGCGUUAAUCGGAAUUACUGGGCGUAAAGCGUGCGCAGGCGGUUAUGUAAGACAGUUGUGAAAUCCCCGGGCUCAWCCUGGGAACUGCAUCUGUGACUGCAUAGCUAGAGUACGGUAGAGGGGGAUGGAAUUCCGCGUGUAGCAGUGA
rnacentral:rRNA from 1 species